GAUGAAGAACGCAGCGAAAUGAGAUAAGUAAUGUGAAUUGCAGAAUUCAGUGAAUCAUCGAAUCUUUGAACGCAUCUUGCGCUCCUUGGUAUUCUGAGGAGCAUGCCUGUUUGAGUGUCAUUAAAUUCUCAACUACACUGACUUUGAAUUGGUGUGGCUUGGAUUUGGGGGGAAAAUUGUUGUGGGCUUUUUGUAUAGUCUGCUCCCCUGAAAUUGAUUAGCGGUACCUUUGUGGAACUGUCUACAGGUGUGAUAAUUAUCUACAUCUUAGACAUCUGCUGGAAUGCUGCUUUCUAAACCUUACUUGUAUUGACAAUCUUGACCUCAAAUCAGGUAGGACUACCCGCUGAACUUAAGCAUAUCAAUAAGCGGAGGA
rnacentral:misc_RNA from 1 species